rnacentral:lncRNA from 1 species
GCGCUGCAGGCUGCGACUUAUCAGGUGCUUUAUAGCUCCCUACCUGCUAUGUGAGACAGGAACACCAGAUGAGGCUGAGGACUGGAUAUUUCCCUCUCCUCCUAUGAAAGAUUCCGCUCUGGAGCCAAAAAAACAGUUUUUCUUGGCGUGUGUAUGUGAAAUCCUGGUGGAAUUCCUUGAAGUAAAAUCCAUGUAAGUUUUGGAGCCACCUAAGAUUGUGACAUCCAGGAGUUUCUUACAGUUAACACUAGCACAAGCUCAGUCUCUAGGUCUCAAAAUGACCAUGUAAGUGUUCAGUUUGUGGAUCCAGACGCUUCUGCUCCAGAGAGUAAGAAUUUUGAGAAGAGAAACUCUUAUCUUUUAAUUUUUAUCCCAGAGCAGUGGCCAAAUGACAGAAAAUAUAACAUGAAUAUAUUUUUGAAUGAAUCAAAUGAAGAAGAGCUAGAUUUAAUUGGGUUAUGGAGUUUAAGGAGAUGGGCUCAUUGAACUUGGACUUUUGAGUUAAUUCUGUAAUGAGUUAAGACUUUGGGAGACCGUUGGGAAGGCAUGAUUAUGUUUUGCAAUGUGCGAAGGAGGAAGAUUUACCUGCUUCCAUUUCACCUGCUGCCAUGAUUGUACAUUUCCUGAGACCUCCCCAGCUAUGCCUCCUGUACAGCCUGAAGAACUGUG